GAUGAACGCUGGCGGCGUGCUUAAUACAUGCAAGUCGAACGAAGAGCCUUUGUAGCAAUACGAGGGUUUCUUAGUGGCGAACGGGUGCGUAACGCGUUGGUGACCUGCCCAGAAGUGUGGGAUAACAGUCCGAAAGGACUGCUAAUACCGCAUGCGGUCAUCGGGUUUAGAAGCCGAUGACCAAAGCAGCAAUGCGCUUUGGGAGGGACCUGCGUCCCAUCAGCUAGUUGGUAGGGUAACGGCCUACCAAGGCUACGACGGGUAGGGGACCUGAGAGGGUGACCCCCCACAAUGGAACUGAAAUACGGUCCAUACACCUACGGGUGGCAG
rnacentral:rRNA from 1 species